AAGGAAACGAGCGAGAUGAGCAAACCGAAGACGAAGGGGAUAAUGAGCUCGAAAGCCUUGAGGAAAGAGAACCUGAGAAUUAUUGUUGUACCCACACUUGCAUUGUUAGGCCCUCUAAUUGCUUCGGGAAGUAGAUUAUACUGGACAUGAAAGGAAGAUUCACCAGGUUUGUUGAAGCAUCUACCGAAGCGUAACUUGGGGCAGCAUAAAUUAAUCAUCACUUGGUAUUCUAGUUAGUUUAUGAGACGGGUAAUACAUGGAUAAGAAGACUGUAAACUAAAUUUAAAUUAAGGUGCCUGGUGUAAUAAAACAUCUUGAGUCCUAUCA